CAAGUGAUAGCCGAGUGGUUACCGCAACAGAUUAGAAAUCUGUUCCUCUUGAGCAGUGUGCGCAGGUUCUAAACCUGUUGACAUGA